AGGCCGGUGCGGUGGUUGCCGUUGAAGCCGAGGUCCUCGAUCGCGCAGUAGCGCCGGUGCGAGGCCCCGCUCGGGUCGGGGCCCGUCCC
rnacentral:tRNA from 1 species